UACAGAGGUCUCAAGCGUUGUUCGGAUUCAUUGGGCGUAAAGGGUGCGUAGGUGGCGGGGUAAGUCGGAUGUGAAAUCCCGGGGCUCAACCCCGGAACUGCAUUCGAUACUGCCGUGCUCGAGUACUGGAGAGGAGAUUGGAAUUUACGGUGUAGCAGUGAAAUGCGUAGAUAUCGUAAGGAAGACCAGUGGCGAAGGCGGGUCUCUGGACAGUUCCUGACGCUGAGGCACGAAGGCCAGGGGAGCAAACGGG
rnacentral:rRNA from 1 species